rnacentral:precursor_RNA from 1 species
GUCGGGGGUGAGGACGAAAGGACCCAUCCAUCCUUUACGAUUGCCCUCCUAUUGCCCUUACCUUGAGCCC